rnacentral:rRNA from 1 species
UACAGAGGUGGCAAGCGUUGUUCGGAAUUACUGGGCGUAAAGGGCGCGUAGGCGGCCCUCUAAGUCCCGUGUGAAAGCCCCCGGCUCAACCGGGGAACUGCACGGGAAACUGGAAGGCUUGAGUUCGGGAGAGGGAAGCGGAAUUCCGGGUGUAGCGGUGAAAUGCGUAGAGAUCCGGAAGAGCACCGGUGGCGAAGGCGGCCCGCUGGGCAGGAAGGGGUGGGUAACCACCCGGCUGACACUGAGGCGCGACAGCGUGGGAGCAAACAGG